GCCUGGAGAAUUGCUAUUUUUUAUUUAUUCAUUUUUGAACACAUCUAUUCAUUGUAAAUUAUAAGUCAGCCAUGUUAGGUGCUGAAGACACAGAAAUAACUACAACAUUGUGUUUUUUCACAGCCAAUGAACAAAAACAUAUUGAUUGACGCUUGCUACUACAUUAGUACAUUAAAUAUAUUAGCUCUUCUCAUCCUUUAAUCCUAUGAAUCUCAACUCUGGGUAGGAUAAACUAUGGCUUUGAGGAGGUCAUUUGCCCAAGAUUACACAGAUAAGUGGCUGCAGGAACUGGAAUCCAAACUCAGGAUCUACUAAACCUGGGGCAUGUGUUCAAAAUCACUAUGCAAUAUUGCUUCUUGAUACAUCAUUUACAAUACCAAAUCACUACAGUGUACACCCGAAACUCGUCUAACAAUGUAAUGUUAACUAUACUGGAAUUAAAAUAAAAAAAAUAUUGCUUCUUAAAACUCAGAUUCAUGGGGCGCUUGUGUGGCUCAGUGGUUCAGAGUCUGCCCUUGGCUGAGGGGUGAUCCCGGGGUCCUGGGAUCAAGUCCCAUAUCGGGCUCCCUGCAGGGAGCCUGCUUCUCCCUCUGCCUGUGUCUCUGCCUCUCUCUCUCUGUGUCUCUCAUGAAUAAAUAAAUAAAAUCUUUAAAAAAAACCCCUCAGAUUCAUGGGCUUCUUAUCACUGAAAAAUGUCCUUUGGAAGUAGGGGUAUGCAUAUAUUAAAAUAAAAAUGUAUACAAAACUAAUAUUCACCACAUAAAACAUUUUAAAUCUGGAGAUUUAAAAAUAUGAACAUUUUAGGUAGCUUCUAUUAUGUAACGAUCUUUUAUUUCAGAAUAUUGCUAAUGCAAACACUAAUCUAUUUGUACAUUUAUAGGGAAAUAGGCUUUGUAGGCUAAAAGGAAACUAACCUGCUGUCUUUUCUAAACUUUAUGCUUUCGGGGUUAGUAUUGAAAACAUAUAACUGUGCAAUUAUAAAGACUUGUAUGUAGUUGUAAUUGGUUUUACACAUGUUUACAGGUCAUUCAACAUAUAUUGUGCCUAUAUACUAAGGAAACGAGGACACAUUUACGAUGUGCUGGCUGCUGAGUUCAAGUAGUUUCACUGAAUUCAUCCCUUUCCUAUGGGAUAGGUAUUCUCAUUCCUGUUAGUGAAUGAGGAGGCUUCGCUCAAUGAAUUGAGUAGGCUGCACA
rnacentral:lncRNA from 1 species